rnacentral:rRNA from 1 species
CACGUAGGAGGCGAGCGUUGUCCGGAAUCAUUGGGCGUAAAGAGCGCGCAGGCGGCUUGGCAAGUCGGGUGUGAAAUCCCGGGGCUCAACCCCGUGACUGCAUCCGAUACUGUCAGGCUAGAGGUAGGUAGGGGAGAUCGGAAUUCCUGGUGUAGCGGUGAAAUGCGUAGAUAUCUGGAGGAACACCGGUGGCGAAGGCGGCAUUCUGGACCAUAACUGACACUGAGAGACGAAAGCCAGGGGAGCAAACGGG